GAUAACAGGCUUAUCACUCCCAAGAGUUCACAUCGACGGAGUGGUUUGGCACCUCGAUGUCGGCUCAUCGCAUCCUGGGGCUGAAGUAGGUCCCAAGGGUUGGGCUGUUCGCCCAUUAAAGCGGUACGCGAGCUGGGUUCAGAACGUCGUGAGACAGUUC
rfam:Lachnospiraceae bacterium 2_1_46FAA genomic scaffold aclXT-supercont-complete, whole genome shotgun sequence.